AAGGCAAUCACUGUGCUCACUUUGUGACCAGGCAGAGAGCUGUCCAAGACGACAGCCAGAUGUCGGAGCGCCGGGAAACUGAGAAAGAAAACAGGUGGCCAGAGCAGAGCCCGGUGCGGUGGGGUUUUCCUCAUCCUUCGGGCAACCCCAUGCGACUCCUGGCCAUAACCAUCCUGUUCUUCAUGCUGCUGGACACAAUGCUCCUCCAGACUCUGGCGCAUCAGGAUCUUCCAAGUGCGGAAAGGGUCCCCCGUCUAAAUAUGAAGUUUGAUUCUUGGAGAAUGAAACUGAGUUGGGACUGCGAAGAAAACACUACCUACCUCGAAUGUGUGAUGAUUCACAAGGAGAAUGGACCAAUCACCAUAAUACCCCAGGAGAAAGAAUGUCAUUGCGAGUUUUCGGAUUAUUCUCUCCAUGAUGGAGUCACGCUUAUGGUUAAAGUAAAUAGCACCCAAAGACCGAUUCCAGAAACACUGGUCUACGCUAACUCAGGUGGGAAUGGCACAGCUGCCCAGAAUUUCUCCUGCUUUAUCUACAAUGCAAACUUCAUGAACUGCAGUUGGGCAAAGGGUCAGGCUGCCCCUGAUGAUGUCCAAUAUUUUUUGUAUAUAAGAGACUCGAGGAAAAGAAGGGAAAGAGAGUGUCCUCAUUACAUAGAAGACUCGGGAACCCAUGUGGGAUGUCACCUGGAAGACCUCUCGGGAUUAACUAACUACAAUUACUUCCUGGUGAACGGUACCAGCCAAAGGACGGGGGUCCAGUUCUUUGAUUCGGUUCUGUCAUGGAAGAAAAUCGAAAUAUAUAGCCCACCCAACAACAUCAGCGUGUUCUGCAAUGCGUCCCACUGCCUGAUCUAUUGGGAAAAGCCCAAGACCCGAUACAGGCUGUCCAACAUGGAGUUCAAAUACCAGCUGGACAUUCAGAGAAAGAGCAAUAAGGAAAACAGCGAGAAUCAACUGAUUGAGGUGCCUGGUAAUUUGGAGAAUAGCUACAACUUCCCAAGUCCGGAGCCCAGACCCAAGCAUACUGUGAAAAUAAGGACCUCGGACGCACGGAUCCAGAAGUGGGGUGCCUGGAGCCAGCCCAUUGAGUUUGGCUCCGAGGAAACCGCGCCCAGCCUUGUGCCCAUCUACGCCCUGGUGGUCCUGGGGACCCUCAUCACGGUCCUGACCCUCGGCUGCCUGUUGAAAAGGUUCCUCGCAUCACAGACUUUAUUCCCACCGAUCCCGCGCAUCAAAGACAAGUGGACGGACGGCCAUCGGCCUGACCAGCAGGUCAUCUGGGAGAACUUCACCUUGGACACGGAAAAAGAAUGUGAUUUUUUGCAAAGAUGCCUGUCGUCGGAGGGCUCACUGAACGCGCUGGAACUCGAUGCCGUGAUACACCUGCCUCUCUCCCGGGAAACACAGAAUGCUUCUUGCUUUACGGUGGCUCAGAUACUCUCCUGGCAGCAGCCACCAGGGCUGACACGUGGGUCUCUGGCGUGUCUGUGGUCCCCAUGGGAGCACGGCCCUCCCCUGUUUCUCCAAUAGCUGCAGGCCAGCCCUGUAUGGGGACCAUCUGAGGGUCCUGACCAGUUAUCUCCUCCGCAAAGUCCCGUUUGCCACCUAACGUGACACAUUCCAAGGCUCUAGGAAUCAGGGUGUGGACAUCUUUGGGGACAUUGUUCCCUCCACCACGUGAGGAUCGGGACAUGGACAUAUUUGGGACAUGGUUCUGUCUACCACAUGGGGAUCGGGACGUGGACAUCUUUGGGGACAUGUUUCCAUCCAGCACCUGGGGAUAGGAAUGUGGACAUAUUUGGGACAUGGUUCCCUCUAGCACAUGGAGAUCGGAAUGUGGACGUCUUUGGGGACAUGGUUCCAUCCACCAGUUGAGCACUGGGACAUGGACGUCUUUGGGUACAUUGUUCCUUCCAUCAUGUGGGGAUUGGGACAUAGACAUCUUUGGGGACAUGGUUCUGUCUACCACAUGGGGAUCAGCAUGUGGACAUCUUUGGGGACAUUGUUCUGGGGAUCGGGAUGUGGACGUCUUUGGGGACAUGGUCUGUCCACCACUUGAGCAUUGGGAUAUGGACGUCUUUGGGGACAUUGUUCCAUCCACGAUGUGGGAAUUGGUACAUGGACAUAUUUGGGACAUGGUUCUGUCCACCAUGUGGGGAUCGGGAUGUGGAUGUCUUUGUGGAUAUGGUUCCGUUCACCACCUGGGGAUCUGGACGUGGACGUCUUUGGGGACACGGUUCCAUCCACCACUUGAGUAUUGGGAUAUGGACGUCUUUGGGGACAAUGUUCCUUCCACCAUGUGGGGAUCAGGAUGUAGACAUCUUUGAGGACAUGGUUCUGUCUACCACGUGGGGAUCAGAGUGUGGACAUCUAUGGGGACAUUGUUCUGGGGAUCGGGAUGUGGACGUCUUUGGGACAUGGUUCUGUCCACCAUGUGGGGAUUGGGAUAUGGACGUCUUUGGGGACAUGGUUCCAUCCACCAGACAUGGAUGGGGACGUGGACGCCUUCGUCUGCAGGCAUGGGCGGGGAUGGGAGGGGACUUCUCGCGAGGAUCCCGAGACCAACUCUGCACCUUGACUUCUGAGACACGUGAAUAUGAAACCCUGCAGGCCGCCCGCCCGCCCAACCACAUGAAGGUCGUCCGGCCCAGCCUCCUUGGAGUUACCAGUGGCUUGACAUCAGCACGAAAUCCUCUCAGAUAUUCGACGUGGACGCCUCAGGGUGUGUACGAGGUGGCCCUCGCUUGCCCCUGCCUCGAGGAUUCCAACAAGCACUUCAUGUGAGUCCUGUCCUUCUGUUUGUCCGUCCGUAAGAUGAUGCCCAGGAUGCCGGAAACCCGCCUCCCUCCCUUCAUCUCUGAGAAACACCAUCACCCUCCCAUGAUGACUCCUGGCACCUAACGUCCCUUCAGACCAAGACUUGUCCUUGGAAAGUAAAUGCUGCUCAGACUCCAGAGGGACCAAACUGGCCUCCAGGAUGACAGAUGCUCUCCCAGUGGAGGCCGUCCGUCGAGGACAGGACCUCUGUGUUCCAGGCGUGUGACUGGUCGCCCAAGACACCCACGCAGGAGUGUCAGGGGUAAAAUCAUGGACGGCACCAAAAGCAUGCCCCUUGCACUUUGAAAUUUUGCCCUGGAAUAGCCCAGAUGGGACUAACAUACUCUAUGCACAGAAAAGAACAACCACAAAAAGGUGGUUUCUUUGAACAACUACCUUGGGCAAAAUACGGAUAUAGGAAAAUCUAAAUCCUGUUGUGAAAGAGAGAUAUUUUACAUGUAGGCUUUCCGCUUGCUGUUCCUGCUUUCCCUCUCCAUUCUGCCUCCUGUGACACCCUCUCCACUCACCCGUAACUUCGAUAAAAGACUGAGUUCCUGCACGUGUACAUGGAGGUGAUAUCAGUCAUUAUCACUUUAGUAUGAAUUAGCAAUUA